rnacentral:rRNA from 1 species
GACGAACGCUGGCGGCGUGCUUAACACAUGCAAGUCGAACGAAGAGCGAUGGAAGCUUGCUUCUAUCAAUCUUAGUGGCGAACGGGUGAGUAACGCGUAAUCAACCUGCCCUUCAGAGGGGGACAACAGUUGGAAACGACUGCUAAUACCGCAUACGAUCUAACCUCGGCAUCGAGGAUAGAUGAAAGGUGGCCUCUACAUGUAAGCUAUCACUGAAGGAGGGGAUUGCGUCUGAUUAGCUAGUUGGAGGGGUAACGGCCCACCAAGGCGAUGAUCAGUAGCCGGUCUGAGAGGAUGAACGGCCACAUUGGGACUGAGACACGGCCCAGACUCCUACGGGAGGCAGCAGUGGGGAAUCUUCCGCAAUGGACGAAAGUCUGACGGAGCAACGCCGCGUGAGUGAUGACGGCCUUCGGGUUGUAAAGCUCUGUUAAUCGGGACGAAAGGCCUCCUUGCGAAUAGUUAGAAGGAUUGACGGUACCGGAAUAGAAAGCCACGGCUAACUACGUG